rnacentral:lncRNA from 1 species
GCGGAACCCGUCAUCAGCUAAGUACAGAGCGGGCGGCGGGCGGGGCGGCGGCCGGGGAAAUUGCCGGUUCCCGUGCCCCGCGGGGCCUGCGGGCGCCCCGAGUCUGGGGGCCCGGGGCGGGCGGGCCGGGGUCCGGGGGAUCCCGGGGGGUCACGGGCGGCCCGGGUCCGAGUGCGCCGGUACUGAGCUCGAGAACGGCCCCCGCUGGGGAAGGAGCCGCUGGCAGCGCGGGGGCCGCGCGCAGGGCAGGGGGCGGCGGCGGCGCCGGCGCGGGCGGGGAGGGAGGGCGCGGCUCCGGGCGCGGGGCCAGGUCGGGCGGCCCGGGGCUCCGCGGGGGACGCGCGGCGAGGACGCGGGGCUCUCGGCACCCCUCUCCCGUAGCGGGGCCCUGCCCCGGCUCUUAGAAAGAGCAUUGGGCUCCGGGCCAGAGCGCCGUGGGGCCAGCGCCCCAGCCCUUAGUGAAUUGCUUCAUCUGCCACUCAUGUCCUGCGCCCUGGAAGCUGCAGAGAGAGCCUCGGCUCCCCGUGCAAGCGCUGGGCUGACAACUGACAGCGGCGACGCUUGGAAUGAGACGUCCAAGGGUUCAAGGGUCAACUCUUUCCUCCAGGCCUAGCAGAUCAUAGAUACUCCUUCUUCUUAAACUUAUUAAGGAAAAAGGCAGUCACUCAUGCCUUCCGCCAACAAAUAUUGACUGAGCACCUACUAUGCGCUAGACAUGCUGCUAGGCCUUGAGGAUGGAGGGGUGAAUGAGACAGGCAAAGCCUCAUGUUCUUUUGGUGGAGACAAGCAAUAAACACUUGAAUACACAUCUCAGACAAGAUAGUGCUGCAGAUGGUGAUGGGUGUCAGGGAGACUCCUCAUCACCUGAGGCAAGGGGAAAAGGCAUUGUGGGAGACGGGGGAGCUGUUCUAUUUGAGACUCAGUGGCCCCAGAGGAAGGGCUUCCUGGGACAGUGCCCUUUAAGCUGAGACCUGAGCAAAGCGUGAGAUUUAGCAAGGCAAUUUUCUAAGGGAAGGUUUUUUAGAUAAAGCAGACUGCAGGUGCAAAGUUCCCAGCCCUUGCUGGUAGAAUGAUCUCUCAGGCUCCUGAGCCCCCAAAGCACAAGAUUGCACCCCUUCCUCUGACAAGAGAGGAAGCGUGAAGCCCAGAUCUGGAGUCAGGCAGACCUGGCUUUACAUUCUGGCCCUGGUACUCACUAGCUGUGUGACCUUGCACACAUCACUUAGCCUCUCUGAGUGGUAGUUCCUGCGUCUGUCACAUGGGGAGAAUAAUGCUCUGUUCUUUACAGGUUUGUGUGAGGAUUCAAUGAAGUAACACCAAAAUGUUGCAAGCCCAGACUUGGGCAUCCUUAUGUGCUCAAACAAAUGAUCUCUGGGUUCCCUAAGAAGACCUCACCUUCUGCAUCUGAAAACUAGGUCUCUCUGACUCGGAGUGAAAAGCGAAUUUACCUUUCCCCAUCCUGGUGGCAACGAGGGGGCCCAUGGUAGAACUGUGCGCAGCUUGGACAAACUCUGGGAGAGGGGUCCCAGCUGGGGUUUCCUGUUGGACGCCCUUUGGAACUCAGAGCCCCGUUGACAGGAGGAGAGAGGAGCAGUUGAUUGGACAGCUCCCCACCCAGCCAGCCACACUAUCCGAGUCUCAGGCAUUUGGUGGAGUUCAGAGAGGAGGCCUCCAGCAAGCCCAGGUCAGGGCCAAGCUGUCACACUGGGCCUCACUCUGUCACCCAGGCUGGAGUGCAGUGGCAUGAUAUCAGCUCACUGCGGCCUCAACCUCCCAGGCUGAAAGGAUCCUUCUGCCUCAGCCUCCGGAGUAGCUGGGACUACAGGUGCCACCACACCUGGCUUUUCAUGGCUUAUCUUGUUUCAUCCCCUGCUCUCCCACAAUGACCAAGUUACUUCUGAAGCGAAUCCUAGAUGUCGUAUCAUUUCAUUCCUAUUCAAUAUUAUGUCUAAAAGACAUGGAUUCCUUUUCUUUGUUUGUUUUGCUUUUGAGAUGGAGUUUCACUCUUGUUGCCCAGGCUGGAGUGCAAUGGUGCGAUCUUGAUUCACCGCAAGCUCCACCUCCCGGGUUCAAGCCAUUCUCCUGCCUCAGUCUCCCGAGUAGCUGGGAUUACAGGCAUGUGACACCACACCUGGGUAAUUUUGUAUUUUUAGUAGAGACAGGGUUUCUCCAUGUUGGUCAGGCUGGUCUCGAACUCCCGACCUCAGGUGAUCCACCUGCCUCGGCCUCCCAAAGUGCUGGGAUUACAGGCGUGAUCCACCAUGCCCGGCCAUGGAUUCCUUUUUUAAAAAGCCACAAUACCCUUAUCACAUAUAAAAUGUGUGCCAUUAUCACUCUUCCUAUCAUGAACUCUCCAGUCAGUGCUCACAUUUCCCAGUGUCUCAUGAAUGUCAUCAUUUCUCUUUUUUCAACUUGUUUGUUUGAAUCAGGAUACAAAUAAGGUCACUGUGUUCCAAUUGGUUUAUGUGUCUUUAAGUUACUUUGUUUGAAAGUCAUUUGGAAUAGUUUUUCUCUUUGUGGUAUUAAAGUAAAUUAAAAUGAAGACCAGGCCUAAAGAAUCCCUGAGCAAACAAAACCAGUUAGGCUCAGAAGUAGCCAACAAACUUAUAAUUAUAUAAUGAGGGACUUUCCUAUGGGAUAGAUUAAAUAAGGCAACUGUAUAACUGUAACCAAUCAAAUAUUUUCUUUGCUUUACUUCUGUGUUCCUUGUAUAAAAACCCAUCCCUUGUGUUCCCUCACUUCUGGUUUGGAACUGCCCAAUUCAUGAAUUGUUGUUUGCUCCUAUAAAUUCUUUAAAAUUUUAUUGUGCCUCAGUUUACUUUUUUCUUAUUUUUAGAGACAGGGUCCAGAUCUGUUACCCAGGCUGAAGUGCAGUAGCAUGAUCUUAGCUCACUGCAGCCUCAAAUUCCUCAAUCCUCCUGCAUCAGCCUCCUGAGAAGCCAGGACUACAGGUGCACAGCAGCACACCUGGCUAAUAUAUAUAUUAGAAACAGGGUCUUGCUAUGUUCCCCAGGCUGGGCUAGAGCUCCCAGCCUCAAGUGAUCCUCCUGCCUCAGCCUCCUAAAGUGCUGGCAGAGGUGAGCCACUGGGCCUGGCCUCAGUUUAAUUUGAAUGGUGGUUAAAUAAUUAAUUCAAUGUGUAGAUUUAUUUGCUUUAUUUUACUUUAGGUUUUUAGAAUUUUUAAAGCUUUUUAUUUAGAAAUUUAUUUAAAGAUUUUAAAUUUUAUUUCUGGUUCCAAAAUCUAUCAUACAAAUAUAUCCAGAAAGGUCUAGCUUUUAUGCCCCUUUCAAUCCUUUCCCUUCCCCAUAACUAUUAAUUUUUAAACAUUAUUCUUUAUUAUUACAUUAAUUUAAUAUGUAUCACAUACAUAAUGCAUAUGUAUUCGUAUCCCUCCCUCCUUUUUUUUUUUUUUUGUUUGAGAUGAGGAUCUCACUAUGUUGCCCAGGCUGGACUUGAAAUCCUAAAUUCAAGCAAUCCUCCUGCCUCAACCUCGAGUAGCUGGGACUACAGGUAUACGCCUCCACGUUUGGCUCUUCCUUCCUUUUAGGUAAGGAUUAGCAUGCAAUGACACUUCUCUGCCUCUUGCUGUAUUCACUGUCCAUCCCACUCCAGCUGUCUCUCCCUAGUAGUUGGUCAAGAUUGUCCUCAGUCCCCUUUACAGCCACAGAGUCCUCCAUUGUGCUGAUAACCACAGGCCUCUGCUGAUGGACAUUUUCCUUGCUCCCAUUCUUUAGCGAUUACAAAUUGAAUUGCAAUAAAAAGCCUGUGCUUACACCUUUUGGUAUUUUUGCUAGUGUCUCUCUACGGUAGAUUCCCAGCAAUGGGAUUCUUGAGUCAAAGGUUGAACAUACAUGCAAUUUUGCUAUAGCUAUUGCCAAAUUCCCCUGCAGAAGGCCUGCAUCAUUUUGCAUUCCCGUCAGCUCUGGCUAGGAGUGCCAGCAGAAUGCAUUGCCAAACUUUUGGAUUUUUGACAAUCUGAUAGGUAGGAAAUGGUAUCUCUGAGUAGUUUUAAUUUGCAUUUCUUUUGUUUGAGCAAUGUUGAUCAUAUUUUCACAGGGUUAUGAGCCAUUUGCAUUUCUUUGUCUGUGAAUUGUGUGUUAAUAUUUUUGUUUUGUUUUUGAGACUGAGUCUUGCUCUGUCACCCAGGCUGGAGUGCAGUGGUGCGAUCUCGACUCACUGCAAGCUCUGCCUCCCAGGUUCAUGCUGUUCUGCUGCCUCAGCCUCCCCAGCAGCUGGGACUAGAGGUGCAGGCCACCACGCCCAGCUAAUUUUUUUUUUUUUUUUUGUAUUUUUAGUAGAGACGGGGUUUCACCGUGUUAGCCAGGAUGGUCUCAAUCUCCUGACCUCGUGAUCUACCCGCCUCAGCCUCCCAAAGUGCUGGGAUUACAGGCGUGAGCCACUGCGCCCGGCCAUUGUCUGUUAAUAUUUUUAGCCCAUUUGUCUAGGAAGUUGUUCGUUUUUCCCUUCUCUACUUUUAGAAGCCAUUCACUAGAGACAUUCAUGCUUUGCCUGUGAUACAGGUUGCAAGUGUUUUCUGCCGUUUGUCAUUUGUCUUCUUUCUUUCUCUGUUUGUUUGUUCGCUUAUUUAUUCAUUUAUUCUGGGGAUGUAGCCAUGAACAGGGUGACCCUGAGGGGCUCCACUGACAUGCACAGCCCAAGUCAGAACCUUGGAUGGUCCUGUAUGCGCCUCGUCCCAACCCUUCCCUGUGCUGUCCUUUCUGCCUCUGACCCCUCUCCUGCUGCCCAGUGACCACCCUGCCCCUGUCCUUCCCUGCCUGGGCCCUCAGCAUCACCCAGUCUGAGCUCACAGAGGACUGGAAACAAGCCUGUUUGUCUCUGUAUCCCCCCCACGACGUGCAGGGCAACUGAUCAGUGAAUGAGUGAAUGAAUGAAUGAAUGAAUGAAUGAAUCCUGUGUGGCUAAAACAGCCUCUCCGCCCAGGAAGCCAAGUCAGAGAGGAGCUUGGAAGAGCACUUUCGAGAUCAAGGUUUCUUCACCCCUUGCAUUCUCUUCAGACCUAACUCAGGUCUGAGUUUCUACUCCCAAAUGCCUCACAGGCAAUAUAUGAUGCCUGCUUCUUUUCAUGAUUUAAAAGAACACUCGCUUAUUGUAGAAAAUGUGGAAAAUACAGCAGUACAAAAAAAGAAUUAGAAAUUCUCCAUUAACUCAUUGCCCAGAGGAAACGGCCGUGGGCAUUUUGGUGUAUUUUUAUUCAACUUUGAAAGACAUAUUUUAUUUUUACACAUUUUAUUUUAUACAGUAUAGACAUACAUAUGCAUACACGCCUCCUCUCAUGACAUUAAACUUUUGCACAACUUCACAAUUGUAAAUGAUCACAGAAAAAUGCCUCAAAAUGAAUGUAUCAUAUCCUAGCCCCACCACUUAACCUCUCUGUGCCUCAGUUUUCUCCUCUGUAAAACGGGGAUAAUAAUAGUAUCUACUUUAUAAGUUGCUUGUAAGGGUUCAAUGUGAUUAUGGUGUGAAUGUGGGAAGCGCUCAGAAAGUAUCAUUUUCAUUAUUAUUAGAACUAUUAUUCCUUAAUUGCAAACAUUUAAAUUCUAAUUUUAUUCUAUUGCAAAUGACACUGUAAUGAAUCUCUCUGCUCGGGAGGGUUGUGUGGGAACCUCAGGGAGCUUGCUUCACCCACCCCCGCCCCCCAAAUUAAGCACAACAGGGACAGAGAGAGCGAGGUGUGCUGGGAGGCCCCGUGGCUAAAAGUUAGGAGACCAGAUCUUGGCACUGGCAGCCUGGGGAAGGAGGGCAAAGGGGUGGGGGUGCAGGGAAUGGCAUCUGUGAAAGCUCAGAAGCUUCUAGAAGAGCAUGGGAAGUUCUGAUGUGGUUGCUGGGAUGGCAGUUCUUGUCCCUAUUUGACCUAUGGGUAAUUGAGGGCCAGGAAAGGGGUGACUUGUCUGAUGACGUGGAUGGGCACCAAGUCUGAGCUUCCUGGCUCUCCACAUGCCUGAAAAACAUCUGUGUUUGUUGGGAGAAGGAGAUGAAGAAGAGGAGGAGGAGGAAGAAUUUGGGGCUUUCGAAGCAUGCAUGCCUGUGUGCCCCUGCCCAAUCAAGGUUCAGCUGUCCUGCAAAGCAACCCAGCGGGUCCUGUGAGCUGGAGGCCAGUUUGCCCUGUUUGUCUCCAUGGGUCUUUUCCCUGAUGUCUCCCAAACAGAGACCGUUGGGCUGGCAGCUGGCAGGUCUCCUGAGCUCCACCCUCACCUCCCAUCCCUUCAACCCAGUAGCCUUGCAGACAAAGGCUGGAAAGCCAGGUCCCAUUUCCAGUCAUCAUCCACAGUGCAUAAUUAGGCAGUGCUUGCCUUGUGUUUAUUUAAAGAAGGAGUGUGAACUUGGCAUCAGUGCUUCUGCCAAGAGGGAAGAGCCCCGGAAGGCCCAGAGAAAGCUGGGGGCUUGGGCAGCAGGGGUUUGAGGCCUGAGAGGCCAGGCCGGCCUGUGGUAUAGACAUCGACAAGCAAAGUUUGAGGACUCCUGAAAGUUCUCCAAAAUCUUACCUGCUACCUGUCACCAUUCUCAGUCCGUUAUUAGAACUGUAGCUUCUCAACAGCUUUCUAAGUUCCAAAGAAAAUGCAAAUUAAUACUUCUUGGGGCGCCUCUAUCCUUUAUGGUCUGAAUUUGAGAACAUUGCAAUAGCAGCCUCAUUGCUGCACUAGUCCAAACACUUCUGUGUAACCCUCUUCCACAUGCAGUACUGAGGAGUUCUUGCUGCCUACUGUUUACAGAGGGUAGUCCAAGAAAUAAGAAAUGUCAGUCCCACAUGGUGAAAACUCUGCACUCUAGGGCUUGGGAAUUAUCUGCUAAUAAGACCUGACAUUUCUGAAGGCCAUUAUGAGUUAAACCUCAGGCUCAGAAUGUAUAAUGGGGAGAGAUUCUAGAUACUUCUAGACCACUCUUCUCAUGGAGUAGAAAAAAAUGUAGAGAAACCUCAGAGAGGGGAAGGGACUUACCUACACCAGUUAACGGUAGAGCUAGGACUAGAACACAGGUCUCCUGAUUUCAGUCUCAACUCUCAGGCACCAUGUUGCUUCCCUCCAUUCAAAGAUCAGUGAGGGGGCAGUCAGCACCAGCUGGAGUGUGGCAGUGAAGAGCUCACAGUCCCUGCCCAAGAGGAGCUCCCAGAGGCUGACAAGGGUAUGGGAACAGGGACUCAUCUGAAUCAGAGUGGGUGGAGUUUAGACAGGGGUGGGUCUGAAGAACUGUGGGGAACAGGGUGGUGAGACAGACAUCAGCAAAUUUCCCAAGGGGGUUAGCACAGGAGGUUGAAGGAUGAAUGGGGCUUCUUUACCAGGAGACAUAGGGAAAGGUGUUCCGGGAAAAGGGAAGGGCAAACUCAUGGGAAAAGGAGGCUGAUUUCUCCUGUUCCCAGGUUACAGUGGAUUCCCUGCGGGCUUAACCAGGAUCCCUAGCGCUCAGUGCAGACCCUCCCACGGCAGGGCCCGAGGCUGUAAUCUGUAACCUUAUUGUGACAUAUAUAGUUACAAAGAGAUUGGUUGGACAGGAUGGAUUUUAAUCGAAAAGAGUUAGCCUCUACUGGUGGAAAUGCGGACAUUGUGGCAGGUGAUGAGAAGAAUCCUUUUUGGGGUAGCAGUGGUGAAAACGCUUGCAUGGGUGCGCUGGCAUGCGUGCAGGGACACCUCUUCCUUGUUCUCAAUUCUGUUGACUUUCAAAUUGCAGUUUAAGAGCCAUCUUCCCAUGUCCAACUGUUAAGGUGGCCACUACCCCCUCCCUCUUCUGGACCAUGCCAUCCCCUGCUCUGAGUCUCAGUUUCUCCACAUGUAAAAUGAGGCAGGUGGACUUGCUUGUCUUAAAGGCCCCUUCUGCCUGGGGCUGGUUCUUUAGCCCAGUCUCUGCUUCUCCCUCUGCGGGGAUGUCAGAGGCGCCCUCUCGUGGUCAAUAUUGGCCAUGCAUCCUUGGACUUGGCGCAGGUUUUUGCUUGGCCUCUGAGGGUGUGUGCUUGUGUGUGCAUGUGCGUGUGAGCGUGCCUGUGUACUGGGAGUGGUUACACAGCGGGUGCGUGACAGGCUCAUGACACAUAGAAUGCAGAGCUUCGCUAACUCUCAGACCCUGAUGAAAACACAGAUAAGGAGGUGGGGGUCAUUUAAAAUAAGGGCAAAACCUGCUAAAAGCUUCCUGGGGCCCUUGCCUGGGACACCUAGAGUUCCAAAAUGCCCUAGGCCACCCAUCUUGCUAAUAUACUUUGAGAGCAUCACUCCUCUGCUCAGAAUCUCAUCCUGCCACCCCUCUGCUGAACAGAGUAAACAUCAAACUCCUGGCCCUCCAGAAUACCUGUGGCCUCACUUCUCACUCUUCUUUCCUAUACCACUCCAGGUGAACCACUCCAUCCUUCCCAUCCCCUAUCCUCAGCUUAUGCUGGGAUUUUUUUUCCCAGAGUGUCCUACCCUCUCCUUUAGUCCCCCAUAGCACCUUUCAAGAUGUGGCUAAAAUGCCACCUCCUCCAGGAAGACUCCCUGAAUUUUCCCACUUGGAUCUGUGCUCUCUUUCCUCUGAACCUCCUGGCAACUUUGUCUAUAACUGUCUCCUGGGAUGUAGACAGUUUUAGAGUUUACCCAGGUAAUUUAGGUCGAAGAUGUCCUGUUUUGUUCCCCCUACUCAAAAACUGGCUCCAUGACUGCUUUAUAUCUGGGUCCUUCUAAAUACUGAGCCUUCCCCAUGGCAUCCAGGCAUCCCUCUGCAAGGCCCUGAUUCCCACUCCUUCCCUCUGCCUCCUCCUUCAGUAGGGGCUGCUGUCAUGCAAGGAGGUCUGGCAGUGGAGGAAGAAGACAUGAGCCUUGGGCCAGACUCUUACUGGAUUCCCACCCCACCUGCCCCGUCUUCAGCAGACAAGCUGGUACCCAGCACAAAGGCUCCAGCUGCUGAGCUGUGUGUGGGAGCCUGGUCUCUGGGUGCCCAGAAUGAAGGGUCAGACCCAGGUCACUGCCUGACUCUUUCUUUCAAGGACCGAAGUAAGAACUACAGGCCUAACAGUAACAUCCCUGGCUAUUUGUAGAAGUCCGCUUGGUCGGUCCAUGCUCUAUAACAUGAAUUUCUCAUACAACCCAUUUUUAGAUGGGGAAACAAGAGCUCAGAGAGGCUAGGUAACUUGUUCAAGAUCACACAGCUCUGAGUGCAAGUGUUCAAACAUAGUCCCCACUUUCCAUCCGUCUCCAAAUCCUGUGCAGUUUCUGGAAUAUUCUGCUGUCACUGUGCCUUGCACAAAUCCAGGUUUUGAUAAAUUCCUGGAUAAUAAAAGGCAGACAUGAGUCAACAUAUAACCAGCUCUUUCUCUUUGACUUCCAUAUUGCCCCAGGCCCACACGCGGACCUCUGCAUGAGGGAAGAGUGACAGAACUGGGUUUGUCUGAGAGGGUGAUGGCUCGGGGGGCCAAAGGGAGAGGUGAACCCUGCAUCCCAGGAGGGGUGAAUUCUCUGAUGUGAAUCAUCUGGGUGGUAGGGAGUAAUGGGUCCUGGGCAUGGUGGGGACUGUCACACCCUGAUGCGCUGUCCCAGUUAGGUUGGAGGAGGCUGGGAGGGCCAUCUGACCACAAUGCAGGUCUGUUGCGGACCUCAAGGAGCCUGCAGGGAGUGCAGCCACCUCAGGCACACACCUUGGUGAUAGAUUUUACUGCUCAGCUGCUGAAGCCAUUGGUCAAUGAUGCUCCUCACAGUCAGAGAUCUGAGAGGGGCAUUUUCACAGCCACCACAGACCUUCUGCCUCCCAGGGCCUCCUCACUGGCCUGGCCUGGAGGACUGCCACUGGCACCCACAGUUAGAGGGAAGGAAGUUUCAGGCCUCUGUAACCCAGGAGAGAAGUCCACUAGUCCAGUCCAGGCCAGGUGUCCAGCUCUGGUGGGUGGAACCAUUUGCCCAGCUGUCCUUUGGCUGAGGGUUGGGGCCUGACCUCUGAAGUGAAGGCACCCACAGAGCUGGCCAUUGAGGCAAAUGUCCAGAAUCCUGGGGCAUGGGCACCGGCAGGGGAGAUGAGGUCAUGUGAGAUGUAGGUGCCACUCUCUUGCAGAACCCACCCUCGCACCUUGGCACACAGUGGCUCCACGAGGCCAAGAGCUGGUCUCUUGUUUAUCUGGGUGUAGGGCGUGCACACUGCCUGGAACUGACAGUGUCAGGGACUUCUGCUGGCCAGGACAGACCCCAUGCCUACUCAAUGGCCAUCAGCCCUAGGGCAGCAACAUCAGGAUCUGUCUUCCCCAUUGGUCAGGGGGCUUGUGGUAGGUUCAAACCACUGAUGGCAAGCAGUCCAGGCUCUAGUGUUGGUUUGGGGUCUGGCUCUCUCACUAACCUGAGCAAGUCCCUUACAUCCCCAGGGCUCAGUUUCCUUAUCUGUUGAGUAGAGAUCAUCACACUGAUGGCGAAGAGGCCUUGUGGUAUGGAGGGUUUGGGUUCAACUUUUUUUUUUUUGAGCUGAUUUGAAUCCCAUUUCCCUGGUUAUUUGCUAUAUGGCCUUAGGCAAGUUACUCAAUCUCUUGAAGACUCAAUUUCCCAUCUACAAAAUGGGAGUGAAGAAGAAUCUCUUCUUCUUUCCAAGAAAUGUACAUGUGAGGAUUCAAUAAGGGAACGCUCAGGCAGCUCUGAGCACAGCAUCUGGAGCGUCACUGCGAUGUGGCAGCACGCUCUGCAGCAUGCAGGACAGACACACUCCUUCCUCUCUCCUCCUUCACCUCUUCCCCAGCCCCACCCCUCACAUCUCCUUGGCUAAUGGGUCAAGCAGUGGUCAGUGUCUGGCCAACAGUGGAGACUCAACCAUGCACAGAGAGUGAAAAUGCAGUGCGCACCUCCUGUCCAGGUAGCCCCAACCUCAUUCAUUCACUUCCAGAAUGGCAGGUGCUGUGCUGAAUGCCUGGGAAGAUGGCCCCAAUGUUCCUCCCCAAGGGAUUGCCAGUCACAUCAGCACAGCACGGGAUGGAUCCUGCUGUGCCAACACUCUCUGCAGGCUUGUGGGGACCCUGGCUGAGAUGUCUGGACACCUGGAUUUCAAUCCGGUCUUUGCCAUCCACUCCCUGUGUGGCCCUCCCCCGCAAACUAAAUAAAAAUUUCAUGAGUUGGGGAAGGAGACUCAAGGGGAAGUGAGACGAGAGGACGGAAGUGAGUUGAAGAGCAGGGAGGAGCCUGGAGCCUGGAGCCUGGGCCUCCCUGUGCUGUGAUGUGUGCCAGAGUGGAAGCGGAAGUGGAAGCAGAAGCAGAAGUGGUCCUGCCGGUAGGUGUGACUGGCCUCACAGAGCUGCCAGGAUGCACCUGAGUGCUCAAGAGGGUUUCCCACAGCCCCAGGUGGAUUGGACUCAGAAGCAUGUUUCUGAUGUGCUCAAGAGUGUGGCCCAGACAAGGCACAGAGGACAGGAGUGUCAGAGGCAUUCAAACAAGAGCGACUCCAUCCUGAACGGGGGCUGGGUAAAAUGACGCUGAGGCCUGCCAGGUUGCAUUCCCAGGAGGUUAGGCAUUCUUAAGUCACUGGAUGAGAUAGGAGAGGGGCACAAGAUACUGGUUACAAAGACCCUGCUGAUAAAACAGGUUGCAGUAAAGAAGCUCGCCCAAACCAAAAUGGCAAUGAAAGUAACCUCUGGUCAUCCUCACUGCUCAUUACACGCUAAUUAUAAUGCAUUAGGAUGCUGAAAGACACUCCCACCAGCCCCAUGACAGUUUACAAACGCCAUAGCAACAUCUGGAAGUUACUCUAUAUGACUUAAAAGGAAAAGGAACUCUCAGUUCUGGGAAAUUCCCACCCCUUUCCUGGAAAAUUCAUGAAUAAACCACUCCUUGUUUAGCAUAUGAUCAAGAAAUAACCAUAAAAGUAGCCAACCAGCAGCCCUUCGUGCUGCUCUGCCUGUAGAGUAGCCGUUGUUUUAUUCCUUUACUUUCUUCAUAAACUUGCUUCUGCUUUACUCUGUUGACUCGCUGAUUUUUCUUUCUUGAGACAGAGUCUGGCUCUAUCGCCCGGGCUGGAGUGCAGUGGCGCAAUCUCUGCUUAUUGCAACCUUCACCUCCCAGGUUCAAGCGAUUCUCCUGCCUCAGCCUCCCAAGUAGCUGGGAUUACAGGCAUGCACCACCACACCCGGCUAAUUUUUGUAUUUUUAGUAGAGACGGGGCUCUGCCAUGUUGGCCAGGCUGGUCUCGAACUCCCCACCUCAGGUGAUCUGCCCGCCUCAGCCUCCCAAAGUGCUGGGAUUACAGGCGUGAGCCACCACGCCCGCCUGGAAGAUACUCAUUUUAUGGGAAAUAAUUCCUGGGUCCAAGCAAAGUGGGAGGUAGGUUAGAAGACCCCUGCAUAAAGCUGGGAUCCCAAAGGGCUGCAUCCUCAAUAAAGUAGGGAAAAAAUGUCCACAGAGACUUGUCUGCUUCUGUCUCAACUGCAGUUGGAGCACAGGAAAGAUGGGUUUUCCCUGGAAUCUCUGGGACAAGCCCAGUUUCGUUUCUUUUCUUUUUCUUUUCUUUCUUUCUUUCUUUCUUUCUUUCUUUCUUUCUUUCUUUCUUUCUUUUUCUUUCUUUUCUUUCUCUCUCUCUCUCUCUCUUUCUUUCUUUCUUUCUUUCCUUUCUUCCUUUCUUUUCUUUUCUUUCUUUUUUUUUUUUUUUGAUGGAGUCUCACACUGUCGCCUAGGCUGGAGUGCAAUGGCGUGAUCUUGGCUCACUGCAACCUCUGCCUCCCAGGUUCAAGCGAUUCUCCUGUGUCAGCCUCCCGAGUAGCUGGGAUUACAGGCGACUGCCACCACACCCGGCUAAUUUUUUUGUAUUUUUAGUAGAGAUGGGGUUUCACUAUGUUGGCCAGGCUGGUCUUGAACUCCUGACCUCGUGAUCCACCUGCCUUGGCCUCCCAAAGUGCUGGGAUUACAGGCAUGAGCCACCACGCUCGGCCUCGACAAGCUCAGUUUCAAGUGGAUGUGGCAUCGGAAUUCACACUGCCUAUAUUGCUUCCCUCUCUGACGCCAGAAAAAAACUAACUGAAAAUAUAGUUUCAAGUGUUCCCCAGAUGCCUGAUGAAGCAAUUGUGAAGACUCCCUAGAGGAACGCAUUUUAAAUCUAGGCUUCAAAGUAUUCUCACAAAUAAACUUCCAGGAACAGGAGGUUACACUAAAACAUAUAUAUUUUAAUGCACAUAUAUGUAUAUUAAACAGAAGAGAAAAUAAGCUACAUGACAUGAGAUUCAGCAGAAACAACAUUGCUGAAUCAGACCAACAACAACCAAAGAUAUCGGAAUGAUCUGUUGUAUGUAUAACAUAAAAUAAUUAUGUGUGGUUUGCAUAAAGAAAUUAAAGAUGUGAUCAAAUGUAUGACAAAAGAAUGAGAGACUAUCAAAAGUGAUCAGGUGAAGUUGAAGCAGACCAAAUAGAAUUUCUAGAAAUGACAAAUAAGUUAAAAUUUAAAACUUAAAUUGAAAUGAAAGCCCAACACAUGAAGGGUCAAUUCUGGAAAAGAUGGAGUAAACACACUCUACAUUAUACCUACUGACUGUGAUUCUAAACUACGGACAGGAUGCAUGGGCCAGCUAGCUGAGAACUUGGAAACUGCAUAGUAGCCAAUAUAUUGGAGAAGGAAACAAGAAUUUGAAGUAUGAUUGAACUGGGGUUGAGUUUCCCAUUUAUUUUCCCCCCAGUUUUGCCUGACCUUGACUCACAUGUAGCCCAAAACCUGGAAGAGUGCACCAGGUAGGGGCAGAUAGAGCUCCAAGAGAAUAGAAAGAACUCCUUUUCUGGUUUGAGGAGCAGGAAGGUGGCUCCUAAAGAUCAGAUGUGGGAAGUUUUCCUGUUUAUGUGUUUUUUUCUCCAUCGUCUCCCACUCAAGCUGCCAGGUAGUAUUGCAAUGGAGGCAGUGGCAAUGGUGAUAGCAGCAUUAGCCAAGUAGAUGCCUAAAAUUCUUAGACAGAAAAAACUUCUCCUACCAGAAAAGCCGUGAGCCCAAGAGCAUGGGGAAAUUCCUGUUACUUCUGUCUCCACCCUCACACCCCAAUCCCUCUGCCUUCUGUUCUCCUGCUGCUUGGCCCCAGACACAGAUGCAGUUAUAAGUACAUAGCAGAGCUGGGAAAUUAAAGUCCUAGAUUUCUGGCUGAGGGACUGGAAAAGGAGGCCCCAAAGAGCCAAAAACUGAUGAGGGAGAUUGUAGAGAGGAGAGAGCAUAAAAGAGUGAUCCCAUACUUUUGUGUAUAAACUCCCAGAAUCACCUCCAAACUGUGCAGCAUGGAUCUGAUCCCAAACAAAACAUCAAAGACCUUGAGAACUAGUCUACAUAUGAAACCCAUCUGAAGAGUACUGCAAAUGGCUUUGAAAACUGAAUUGAUAUUGGUACCAGAACCCAGAGAAGGUAGGUGGAACUGGCAGCCUGGACCUAGCCUGGUCACUUGUCUGCUAAAAUUAAAAAAAAAAAAAAAUCAGCAUUCUCUUUAGGAUUUAAACAAGACCACUCACUGGUUCUGUGAGUUAAAAAAAUAAAAAUCGAGAUCCAGAGUCUCAUAACAUACUAUUCAAAAUGUCCAGGAUACAAUCUAAAAUUACUUUGGAUAUGAAAAACUAGAAAAAACUCAACUCACAAUAAAAAGACAAUCAAAUAGAUGCCAACCCUGAGACAACACAGAUGUUGAAAUUAUCAAAGACUUUAAAGCAGCUAUUAUUACCUUACUCCAAGAAGUAAGGGUGAAUACUCUGGAAUGAAUGAAAAAUAGCAAGUCCCAACAAAGAAAUAGAAGAUAUAAAAAAUAACCAAACUGAAAUUACAAAACUGAAAAAUGCAAUUUUAAAAUAAAAAAACAAUAACUGGAAAAACUAGCAGAAUGGAGAUGAGAGAACAAAGAGUCAGGGAACUUGAAUAUAGAUCAAUAGAAAUUAUCCAAUCUGAACAACAAAGAGAAAAAAGAUUGAAAAAAUUGAACAGGGUCUCAGGGACGAGAGGGACAAUACCAAAAUGUCAACUGGUCAUGUAAUCAGAGUCCUGGAAGGAAUGGAGCAACAGUGCAGUUCAGGAAAUAAUAAUUGAAAAAAAAUAACAGCUGGAAACUUCCCAGAAUUACAGCUUCAAGAAAUUCAGCAAACUUC